rnacentral:rRNA from 1 species
AGGCGAUGAUGCAUAGCCGAGUUGAGAGACUGAUCGGCCACAUUGGGACUGAGACACGGCCCAAACUCCUACGGGAGGCAGCAGUAGGGAAUCUUCCACAAUGGACGAAAGUCUGAUGGAGCAACGCCGCGUGAGUGAAGAAGGGUUUCGGCUCGUAAAGCUCUGUUGGUAGUGAAGAAAGAUAGAGGUAGUAACUGGCCUUUAUUUGACGGUAAUUACUUAGAAAGUCACGGCUAACUACGUGCCAGCAGCCGCGGUAAUACGUAGGUGGCAAGCGUUGUCCGGAUUUAUUGGGCGUAAAGCGAGUGCAGGCGGUUCAAUAAGUCUGAUGUGAAAGCCUUCGGCUCAACCGGAGAAUUGCAUCAGAAACUGUUGAACUUGAGUGCAGAAGAGGAGAGUGGACUCCAUGUGUAGCGGUGGAAUGCGUAGAUAUAUGGAAGAA